rnacentral:rRNA from 1 species
UACGAAGGGGGCUAGCGUUGUUCGGAAUUACUGGGCGUAAAGCGCACGCAGGCGGCCGACUAAGUCAGACGUGAAAUCCCUUGGCUUAACCAAGGAAUGGCGUCUGAUACUGGACGGCUUGAAUUCGGGAGAGGGAUGUGGAAUUCCAGGUGUAGCGGUGAAAUGCGUAGAUAUCUGGAGGAACACCGGUGGCGAAGGCGGCAUCCUGGACCGAUAUUGACGCUGAGGAGCGAAAGCCAGGGGAGCAAACGGG